rnacentral:rRNA from 1 species
UAAUACGGAGGGGGCUAGCGUUGUUCGGAAUUACUGGGCGUAAAGCGUGCGUAGGCGGUUUGCUAAGUUGGGCGUGAAAGCCCGGGGCUCAACCCCGGAACUGCGUUCAAAACUGGCAGACUAGAGGCCGGAAGAGGAGAGCGGAAUUCCCAGUGUAGAGGUGAAAUUCGUAGAUAUUGGGAAGAACACCAGUGGCGAAGGCGGCUCUCUGGUCCGGUACUGACGCUGAGGCACGAAAGCGUGGGGAGCGAACAGGAUUAGAUACCCUGGUAGUCCACGCCGUAAACGAUGAGUGCUAGACGUCGGGGGGCUUGCCCUUCGGUGUCGCAGCUAACGCAUUAAGCACUCCGCCUGGGGAGUACGGCCGCAAGGUUA